rnacentral:rRNA from 1 species
GUCUGGCAGUUCCCUACUCUCGCAUGGGGAGACCCCACACUACCAUCGGCGCUACGGCGUUUCACUUCUGAGUUCGGCAUGGGGUCAGGUGGGACCACCGCGCUACUGCCGCCAGA